rfam:Canis lupus familiaris chromosome 2, whole genome shotgun sequence.
GCCUGGGUGGCUCAGCAGUUGAGCACCUGCCUUCAGCCCAGGGAGUGACCCCAGAGUCCUGGGAUCGAGUCCCACAUCAGGCU